CCACAGAAAAGCAUUUGUUGCUUGUCUAAGUAGCCAUUUAUAAAAUCAGCACUUAGAAAAAAAUUUUAAAAAAUAAAAAGAACAAAUGCUACAGAAAGUCAUAUAGCUGUGUUCUCUUUUGUGUUUUUGGCAUCUUAUUGGGUCUUUUUUUUUGGAAUAAACUUUUUGUUUUCUUCAAGUGAUACUAAUACUGGUAUCAUGGGCUGGCGAUGCUGAAAGUUACUCAGAGACUAGUUCUGCCUCUUGUUUUAAAGGAAAAGGAUAAAAAAAGAGCGUGUGCAGCCGAGAUGGGAUAAUGUAAUGUGGCUGGCAAGCCAGGGACUCUGUAGGAACCCCUUCGUUAACUCUCUGGUGCCCGUUCUCCCGUCUGAAGAAGUGGCAGGGAGGCCUGGGUGCUUUUCUGUUUUUGUUUUGAUGUGUAGCCGUAGUUCCAGUGAAAACACCAAGGUUCUGCUGACUUUGGUGAGGUUUUCUUGGACCACGAUAUGCAUUUACCAUAACGUCAAAGAUAGGGGAGAUUUUCUGAGACACAUCACCUAGCGGGUAGCAGCCAACAAGCCAGCCUGCGUAUUUACAGUUCUCAUCUAUUACAUUAAAUACAGCACUGCACAUCAUACACUCUGCUCUAGAGAUUUAGAGGCCUGUGGGUACAGUGUAGGAAGCACACAGCACACAUCCCAAUCUUGCCUGACUGCUGAAAGCCUAGUAAACAGGAAGGCUAGAAAUUACUGGUUUUAACUCACAGCUGUUAGGUUGAGAAGAAUCUAGAUGAGCGAUGAAGUUAGAGUUUGAGGAAAUGGCUGCGUUUUGUAUUGCUUAAAGGACUGCAGCCCGAGCGGGGGGUCACAGAGAGGCUGCAGCUGAGGAGCAGGUGUUCAGUUCUCAGCUGGGCUUUGCCCUACCUGUGUUGACAACAGAGGAUCACAGAGUGUGGAAAUGAGCACCAGGGUGAAUUGGUGAAAAUAUCCAGCUAGCAUUUCUGAGUCCUGUGGCGGGAGCCAACAGCACUGGUCUGAAGAAGACCCAAAAAGUGAACUCAGGACCUGUGAACUGCUUCUCAUGCUGGCUUUUGUGGUGACUGAAGGUGAAGUUCAUGUAUGGAAUUUCAGAAAGUCUAGAAGACACGGCCAGUUACAUUGUAACCUCAGGAAUUGUGGGGUAGGUUUAUUUGGUUGGCUUCAUCUUUUGAAAAGGUCUUUUCCUCAUGUAGUCUACACUGGUCUUAGAUUUAUAAUAAUCCUUCAUCCAAUGCAGAAACAAAAUGCCAGUGUUCAUAUAAUCGUGAAUAAGAUCACAGUCUGUAAAUGAAUGUGGCACAGCUCAGGGUGGCAGGGUGUCGUUUAGGUGCCAGUGCCAUGGCUCAGAUCUUAAAUGUCUCCCAAAGGCCUGUGUGUUGGAACCCCCAGACAUGUACAGUAGGAAGGUAGAACUUUCAAAAACUGGGUAGCUGGGAGUGUGUGCCAUAAAGAGGUCCAAACAGUACAGGUGUGUGUUCAGCUUGCAGAGAUUGUGUGUAUAUACCAUUUUCACUUUUAUGCAAGUGUGUGUGAAGGUGGCAUUCAUGUGUGUGUGUGUGUGUGUGUGUGUGUGUGUGUUUCAUGUGCUCCACCUGAACAAUAAAUAUGAUACCCUUAUGGGGAGGGAAGAACCCAAGCCCAUCCUUUCCCUCUAUCUUGUCCUGACUGUGGUGAAUGGACUAUCUCUUCCAUUUGCCCCCAUCAUGACAAGCAACCUCACCAUAGAGCCAAAGCCAAGGGCCAGUCAGUCACCAAGUGACAUCUCCAGAUUGUGAACUAAAGAAAGCCUUUCUUCUUUAUCAGUAGACACCUCUGAUGUUUGCUAUCAUGAUGGAGAAUAAAAUAACACAGGCAAAGACUAAACAUUUUAGGGGCUGUGCCUGCAGAGUCUCUGAGGCCAGUAGUCACUGCCAAAGAACAAAAAAGAGCCACAGACAAUACUAGACAGGGCUGAAGAAAACUGUUUGCAAAAUGAUGACAAGUGUGUCUGGAUGGUAAGGAUAGAAUGUCAGAAAUGCUAGUAAUUCUGUUGGUUUCUGAGGCAGGUGCCUCAUGCUACCCUCCACAGUACAGUGUGUUGGGAGUGUGUCCAUCACAGGCUCACAGGCUCUUUCUUGUUGCAAGGCAUGUACAUCAGGACUCAGCAUGAGCCAGUAGAUGCUGUAAAUUCCACAGUCUGUGGAGACCAAGUGGGUUCCAGGAGGCCUAAAAAUUCACAGAGACGAGUGUCUAGUAUUUCCAUGGCAACACUACUCUGCCAACCACCUUGAGAUUCCCCCUGGUGUAGAUCUCACUGCUGUGAAAAUGACUGACAAAAGCAAGGAAGCUGUUUAUUUUGAUUACAGUUCAGAGGAACACAGGUUAUGCAUGAAGAGAGAAGGCAUAAAGGCAGAAGUAGCAUCCUGUCUGUAGCCAGGAAGUAGAGAACAAAGGAAUUCAGCUGGCUUUCUCUUUUUCCCUUGUUAUUCACACUGGGACCCUGGUAUAGUUUCUUCCACUAUUAAACAUCCUUGGAAACUUCCUUACAGACAUGCCCAGGGAUGUGUCUCCUAGGUGACUCCAAAUCUUCUCAUGUGACAAUGGGGAUUAACCCUCAUAUAAGUGAAGCCAGUCACUGUGAUUCUGAAACCCAAGGAGACUGACCACAUGAACCACACACUACACACAUUGGAGAAGAGCACACACAUGGAAAAGCUAGCAAUACCUGUGCAAGUGGCCCUGGGACAGUGCAGGAGCUGGGCUACUGUGCAGGGCAAUAUGAAGCCUUGAUAUAAUACAACUCACUCAGCCUCUUUUCCCAAAUACUAUGUAAUAAGAAAACAAACAGAAAAUACCAGACACAAAAGAGAGUUAUUUCAAAUUCUCAUGUAUCAUAAGCUUUAUAAAAGGGUUAAUUUCAAGAAAGACUUUAUAUGACACCCUAGACUAUUUUCAAAGGCAGUUUUAUUGAGAAUAAGAAUUUGAAGCAUGGUUUUUUGUGGAAACACAGAUCACCAGCUGACUUCCCCCACUGAGGGUUCUGCAUGCAACUCAUCCUAUAUUAUUUCAGAGAACAACUCCAUGCAGCACCGAGUAGGGGAAACAACCCACAGAGCAUAGGGCUGUCACUCUGCCACAGGAAGAAAGACCUUUCACACACAGGGCAGCAUAACACCUUGCAGACGUUUGGGUAGUAUACUCUGAUAAGUAAGACAGUGAGCCGACUUCUGCUUUUGCCUCAUAUAAUUUGAGCCUCAGUUUCCCUCAUGCACUAAAGGAUAAUCAUCAUUUAUUGAUUCAUGAAACACAGAAUAUAGUGGACAGUCCCAGCCUUUGUGCCGGGUUUGAGAUGAAGCUGGAUGAAGGAAAACCAAUGAGUCAGUCACCAUCUUAUAUUUAGAGCUCUUGGAAGGCUGUAAGUGAGGUGGACCUGGUCAUUGCAGCUUUUAUAAAGAAAUAUCUGCUUGCUUUUGGAGUGAGCAGCCCAUACCAGACUUCACAUAAUGUCUUGCUCCUAUUAUCCCAGCAUUCUCAGGACAAGGAGACCUGUGCAGAGUUUGGAGCUCCUGCAAGGGGUAAAUGUGGCUUCUCUGUGGUCCAGCCUUUAACCUAUGCGUUGUUGAUGGUUGAUCUCGGCAGUGAAUGAACAAUUUUACAGUGAGAUGGCUGCUACUGUGAAUUCCUCACUAAGAGGAGCUGGUAGGGUGACCACUGAUAAAUGGCUAAGGAUCAAAGGUCAAAAGAGCCAUGCUGCUUACUUACACCCUUCUCUGCAUUCCUCACUUGUCCCUGAGUUCUUAAUUCCAAUGAAGCACAGAGCACCCCUUAAUGUGGGCUUGACUUUCUCCCCUCACCUGGUUCCUCCUGGAACUAUCAUUACUUCCUAAGAGUGGCAGUGAGCACCUACACAGUACAGAUCCUGAGAUCCGUGCAUGCUGACCCACUGACUAAAGAUCCCCUAUUUUUCAAGUUCCUUGACUCAUUGCUUCUUGUAGCAGUACAUGAAGAGAGGGAAGAUUGUCUGUGACUGAAUUAAAUAGAUGGUUCUCUUCUUUUGUACAAUAAAACCUCUUUAGAUAAGUUAUUCCAAAAAUCUCUCUCACACACAAAUAUAUGUCAUGCAUUUGGUUGGUGUCUUUAAGCCAGCACUGCAUACCAAAUACUAGACAGGAAAAUGGAACCAAAAUUCUGCUGAAGAGCUGUUGAUGUUAAAUCAUUGAAUAGGAGGGGGUGUUCUAAUGUAUAUAUUAAAAAGCUAACCACACCAUGGAAAAAGAGUGGAGUGUCUAAAGUGACAGGUAGAGUGUAGUGCCCACACAGGAGAAUGUGAAUGUCUCCUCUGGCCAAACCCUGGGCAUCCCCGUCUUCCAGACAGGUGCUUUGGAAUCAGGAAUGUGAAGCAAUCCUGUGGGAGCCAAGCAAAGGAGCUACCAUAAGUUCAGAUGUAGUUGUAUAGCAGGAGGGAUUGUAGCUGAGCUACAGCAUGAGAGAUAGGGAUGAGAGAGAACCCAAAAACAACUGGACAGAAUCUAGGUAGACCAGCACUGUCAGCAAGGCCACUGAAGGUGUUCUAUAGAUGGAGCUGUGAGCUGGGAAAACCUAGAAUAAAGAAGUGUUCAGAGCUCCCACCAUUCUGAGAGUGGGAAGAGCUUACACUCACCUCUCACCACAUCGGUUUAGUGUUGAAAUAGUGGAAGGGUACCCCAUCACAGGGCUGUUAGCAUUCCACAGCAGUGCCUGAACCAUGUAGCUCUGUGGCUGCACACAGCUCAGGCCCUUUCAUUACUAUUCAUGAAGGACCAAGACACACGGGCUUUACCAUAAAAGACCGAGGCAGAGCCACACUGAUUUAUAUCCGUGCUGUGUGCUUAGCUUUUCCAAUCAAAGUGCCUUCACUUACUUCGCAGCUGUGUCAAAAAUGAAGCGGUGCUCUGUGAGCCAAGGCAGGAGGAUUUCAAGGACAUUCUGUCAAAGAAAAAUGCAAGAUGCAGAAGAGAAGUAAGGCUAUGACUGCACACAUGUGUAUAUUUGCUUAUAUUUGCAUAAAGUAUCUAGGAAUGACAAGGAGCAAGCAGAAAUGUUUGUAUGUGUUUCUGCAGACGAUUCAGGAUCCAGAGGGAAAUUUUUCAUUGUUUUUCUUCAUUCAUUCAUCACUUGCUUUUUUACGUUUGAAACAUGCAAAUGUAUUUCUUAGUCAAAACAAACUUGAUAAGAAACCCAGAAGUGUUUUCAGGCAAGUCUCCUAACAUGCCCCUUACACCCUCUGGGUUGACAGAUGUGAGCAGUUCAGCUUUACCUGUAAGAAACCAGCAGAGCUCCUGGAUGCUGAGUCUGGACUUGAACUCUGGCCCUAAGACAGGAGUCUCAGUGGUUCCCUCAUCAUCAGGCCAUGGGGAUUUGUCUUCAGGAUCCUGUUUGACACUGAUUGUUAAUAGGCAGAUAAUUGUCAAAAUUCUCUGAAUGGAUAAAGUUGAAGUGAGGAAGUGAAGAAUGAAUUAAGGUGUGGUGGCGAUGGCCACAUGGGACGAGAAGGAUAGAGGAGUGUGGGAAAGGAAAUGGAGGGGAGAGUGGAAGGAGGCUUUGGAGGUAGAAGAGAGGGAG
ensembl:lncRNA